rnacentral:rRNA from 1 species
CCUACGGGAGGCAGCAGUGGGGAAUAUUGGACAAUGGGGGCAACCCUGAUCCAGCCAUGCCGCGUGUGUGAAGAAGGCCCUCGGGUUGUAAAGCACUUUCAGUGAGGAAGAACGCCUGGUGGUUAAUACCCAUCAGGAAAGACAUCACUCACAGAAGAAGCACCGGCUAACUCCGUGCCAGCAGCCGCGGUAAUACGGAGGGUGCGAGCGUUAAUCGGAAUUACUGGUGCGUAAAGCUCGCGUAGGUGGCUUGAUAAGCCGUUUGUGAAAGCCCCGGGCUCAACCUGGGAACGGCAUCCGGAACUGUCAAGCUAGAGUGCAGGCGAGGAAGGUAGAAUUCCCGGUGUAGCGGUGAAAUGCGUAGAGAUCGGGAGGAAUACCAGUGGCGAAGGCGGCCUUCUGGACUGACACUGACACUGAGGUGCGAAAGCGUGGGUAGCAAACAGGAUUAGAUACCCGAGUAGUC